CUGGAGGUAUCAGAAGUGCGAAUGCUGACAUAAGUAACGAUAAAGCGGGUGAAAAGCCCGCUCGCCGGAAGACCAAGGGUUCCUGUCCAACGUUAAUCGGGGCAGGGUGAGUCGACCCCUAAGGCGAGGCCGAAAGGCGUAGUCGAUGGGAAACAGGUUAAUAUUCCUGUACUUGGUGUUACUGCGAAGGGGGGACGGAGAAGGCUAUGUUGGCCGGGCGACGGUUGUCCCGGUUUAAGCGUGUAGGCUGGUUUUCCAGGCAAAUCCGGAAAAUCAAGGCUGAGGCGUGAUGACGAGGCACUACGGUGCUGAAGCAACAAAUGCCCUGCUUCCAGGAAAAGCCUCUAAGCAUCAGGUAACAUCAAAUCGUACCCCAAACCGACACAGGUGGUCAGGUAGAGAAUACCAAGGCGCUUGAGAGAACUCGGGUGAAGGAACUAGGCAAAAUGGUGCCGUAACUUCGGGAGAAGGCACGCUGAUAUGUAGGUGAAGUCCCUUGCGGAUGGAGCUGAAAUCAGUCGAAGAUACCAGCUGGCUGCAACUGUUUAUUAAAAACACAGCACUGUGCAAACACGAAAGUGGACGUAUACGGUGUGACGCCUGCCCGGUGCCGGAAGGUUAAUUGAUGGGGUCAGCGCAAGCGAAGCUCUUGAUCGAAGCCCCGGUAAACGGCGGCCGUAACUAUAACGGUCCUAAGGUAGCGAAAUUCCUUGUCGGGUAAGUUCCGACCUGCACGAAUGGCGUAAUGAUGGCCAGGCUGUCUCCACCCGAGACUCAGUGAAAUUGAACUCGCUGUGAAGAUGCAGUGUACCCGCGGCAAGACGGAAAGACCCCGUGAACCUUUACUAUAGCUUGACACUGAACAUUGAGCCUUGAUGUGUAGGAUAGGUGGGAGGCUUAGAAGUGUGGACGCCAGUCUGCAUGGAGCCGACCUUGAAAUACCACCCUUUAAUGUUUGAUGUUCUAACGUUGACCCGUAAUCCGGGUUGCGGACAGUGUCUGGUGGGUAGUUUGACUGGGGCGGUCUCCUCCUAAAGAGUAACGGAGGAGCACGAAGGUUGGCUAAUCCUGGUCGGACAUCAGGAGGUUAGUGCAAUGGCAUAAGCCAGCUUGACUGCGAGCGUGACGGCGCGAGCAGGUGCGAAAGCAGGUCAUAGUGAUCCGGUGGUUCUGAAUGGAAGGGCCAUCGCUCAACGGAUAAAAGGUACUCCGGGGAUAACAGGCUGAUACCGCCCAAGAGUUCAUAUCGACGGCGGUGUUUGGCACCUCGAUGUCGGCUCAUCACAUCCUGGGGCUGAAGUAGGUCCCAAGGGUAUGGCUGUUCGCCAUUUAAAGUGGUACGCGAGCUGGGUUUAGAACGUCGUGAGACAGUUCGGUCCCUAUCUGCCGUGGGCGCUGGAGAACUGAGGGGGGCUGCUCCUAGUACGAGAGGACCGGAGUGGACGCAUCACUGGUGUUCGGGUUGUCAUGCCAAUGGCACUGCCCGGUAGCUAAAUGCGGAAGAGAUAAGUGCUGAAAGCAUCUAAGCACGAAACUUGCCCCGAGAUGAGUUCUCCCUGACCCUUUAAGGGUCCUGAAGGAACGUUGAAGACGACGACGUUGAUAGGCCGGGUGUGUAAGCGCAGCGAUGCGUUGAGCUAACCGGUACUAAUGAACCGUGAGGCUUAACCUU
rnacentral:rRNA from 1 species